GACGAACGCUGGCGGCGUGCUUAACACAUGCAAGUCGAACGCUGAAGCUCAGCUUUUGUUGGGUGGAUGAGUGGCGAACGGGUGAGUAACACGUGAGUAACCUGCCCCCUUCUUUGGGAUAACGCCCGGAAACGGGUGCUAAUACUGGAUAUUCACUGGUCUUCGCAUGGGGGUCGGUGGAAAGGGUUUUUCUGGUGGGUGAUGGGCUCGCGGCCUAUCAGCUUGUUGGUGGGGUGAUGGCCUACCAAGGCUUUGACGGGUAGCCGGCCUGAGAGGGUGACCGGUAACAUUGAGACUGAGAUACGGCCCAGACUCGUACGGGAGGCAGCAGUGGGGAAUAUUGCACAAUGGGGGCAAGCCUGAUGCAGCGACGCCGCGUGAGGGAUGGAGGCCUUCGGGUUGUGAACCUCUUUCGCUCAUGGUCAAGGCGAAACAAUGGUUGUGGUGAGGGUAGUGGGUAAAGAAGCGCCGGCUAACUACGUG
rnacentral:rRNA from 1 species